GACGAACGCUGGCGGCGUGCUUAACACAUGCAAGUCGAACGGAAAGGCCCUGCGUUUGUGGGGUGCUCGAGUGGCGAACGGGUGAGUAACACGUGAGUAACCUGCCCUUGACUUUGGGAUAACUUCAGGAAACUGGGGCUAAUACCGGAUAGGAGCUCCUGCUGCAUGGUGGGGGUUGGAACGUUUCGGCGGUUGGGGAUGGACUCGCGGCUUAUCAGCUUGUUGGUGGGGUAGUGGCUUACCAAGGCUUUGACGGGUAGCCGGCCUGAGAGGGUGACCGGCCACAUUGGGACUGAGAUACGGCCCAGACUCCUACGGGAGGCAGCAGUGGGGAAUAUUGCACAAUGGGCGGAAGCCUGAGGCGGCAACGCCGCGUGCGGGAUGACGGCCUUCGGGUUGUAAACCGCUUUCGCCUGUGACGAAGCGUGAGUGACGGUAAUGGGUAAAGAAGCACCGGCUAACUACGUG
rnacentral:rRNA from 1 species